UUUUUGGAGAGUUUGAUCCUGGCUCAGGACGAACGCUGGCGGCGUGCCUAAUACAUGCAAGUCGAGCGAACUUGAUGGGAGCUUGCUCCCUGAUAGUUAGCGGCGGACGGGUGAGUAACACGUGGGUAACCUGCCUGUAAGACUGGGAUAACUUCGGGAAACCGGGGCUAAUACCGGAUAACUUUUUUCUUCGCAUGAAGGGGAAUUGAAAGAUGGCUCCGGCUAU
rfam:Bacillus sporothermodurans strain B4102 NODE_151, whole genome shotgun sequence.